UACGUAGGGCGCAAGCGUUGUCCGGAAUUAUUGGGCGUAAAGAGCUCGUAGGCGGCUUGUCACGUCGGGUGUGAAAGCCCGGGGCUUAACCCCGGGUCUGCAUUCGAUACGGGCAGGCUAGAGUGUGGUAGGGGAGAUCGGAAUUCCUGGUGUAGCGGUGAAAUGCGCAGAUAUCAGGAGGAACACCGGUGGCGAAGGCGGGACUCUGGGACGGUACUGACGCUGAGACGCGAAAGCGUGGGGAGCGAACAGG
rnacentral:rRNA from 1 species